rnacentral:rRNA from 1 species
UGAGGAAUAUUGCGCAAUGGACGAAAGUCUGACGCAGCAACGCCGCGUGAGGGAUGAAGCUCUUAGGAGUGUAAACCUUUUUUAGGAGGGAAGAACGGGUAGCAUUCGAACAGGGUGUUACUGUGACGGUACCUCCAGAAUAAGCCCCGGCUAACUCCGUGCCAGCAGCCGCGGUAAUACGGGGGGGGCUAGCGUUGUCCGGAAUUAUUGGGCGUAAAGGGCGCGUAGGCGGGAUAGUCAGUCUGAGGUGAAAGGCCAGGGCUUAACUCUGGGUUUGCCUUGGAUACUGCUAUUCUUGAGUUCGGCAGAGGGAAGUGGAAUUCCUGGUGUAGCGGUGAAAUGCGUAGAUAUCAGGAAGAACACCGGUGGCGAAGGCGGCUUCCUGGUCCGAUACUGACGCUGAGGCGCGAAAGCGUGGGGAGCGAACA